AGGAGCGGGAGCGCCUGGCG
rnacentral:misc_RNA from 1 species